AAGCGUCGGUAAGGUGAUAUGAACCGUUAUAACCGGCGAUUUCCGAAUGGGGAAACCCAGUGUGUUUCGACACACUAUCAUUAACUGAAUCCAUAGGUUAAUGAGGCGAACCGGGGGAACUGAAACAUCUAAGUACCCCGAGGAAAAGAAAUCAACCGAGAUUCCCCCAGUAGCGGCGAGCGAACGGGGAGCAGCCCAGAGCCUGAAUCAGUAUGUGUGUUAGUGGAAGCGUCUGGAAAGGCGCGCGAUACAGGGUGACAGCCCCGUACACAAAAAUGCACAUGCUGUGAGCUCGAUGAGUAGGGCGGGACACGUGGUAUCCUGUCUGAAUAUGGGGGGACCAUCCUCCAAGGCUAAAUACUCCUGACUGACCGAUAGUGAACCAGUACCGUGAGGGAAAGGCGAAAAGAACCCCGGCGAGGGGAGUGAAAAAGAACCUGAAACCGUGUACGUACAAGCAGUGGGAGCACGCUUAGGCGUGUGACUGCGUACCUUUUGUAUAAUGGGUCAGCGACUUAUAUUCUGUAGCAAGGUUAACCGAAUAGGGGAGCCGAAGGGAAACCGAGUCUUAACUGGGCGUUAAGUUGCAGGGUAUAGACCCGAAACCCGGUGAUCUAGCCAUGGGCAGGUUGAAGGUUGGGUAACACUAACUGGAGGACCGAACCGACUAAUGUUGAAAAAUUAGCGGAUGACUUGUGGCUGGGGGUGAAAGGCCAAUCAAACCGGGAGAUAGCUGGUUCUCCCCGAAAGCUAUUUAGGUAGCGCCUCGUGAAUUCAUCUCCGGGGGUAGAGCACUGUUUCGGCAAGGGGGUCAUCCCGACUUACCAACCCGAUGCAAACUGCGAAUACCGGAGAAUGUUAUCACGGGAGACACACGGCGGGUGCUAACGUCCGUCGUGAAGAGGGAAACAACCCAGACCGCCAGCUAAGGUCCCAAAGUCAUGGUUAAGUGGGAAACGAUGUGGGAAGGCCCAGACAGCCAGGAUGUUGGCUUAGAAGCAGCCAUCAUUUAAAGAAAGCGUAAUAGCUCACUGGUCGAGUCGGCCUGCGCGGAAGAUGUAACGGGGCUAAACCAUGCACCGAAGCUGCGGCAGCGACGCUGAUGCGUUGUUGGGUAGGGGAGCGUUCUGUAAGCCUGCGAAGGUGUGCUGUGAGGCAUGCUGGAGGUAUCAGAAGUGCGAAUGCUGACAUAAGUAACGAUAAAGCGGGUGAAAAGCCCGCUCGCCGGAAGACCAAGGGUUCCUGUCCAACGUUAAUCGGGGCAGGGUGAGUCGACCCCUAAGGCGAGGCCGAAAGGCGUAGUCGAUGGGAAACAGGUUAAUAUUCCUGUACUUGGUGUUACUGCGAAGGGGGGACGGAGAAGGCUAUGUUGGCCGGGCGACGGUUGUCCCGGUUUAAGCGUGUAGGCUGGUUUUCCAGGCAAAUCCGGAAAAUCAAGGCUGAGGCGUGAUGACGAGGCACU
rnacentral:rRNA from 1 species